AGGGCCCAGGCCCUAUGGGGCGCAGCAGGCGCGAAACCUCUGCAAUAGGCGAAAGCUUGACAGGGUUACUCUGAGUGAUUUCCGUUAAGGAGAUCUUUUGGCACCUCUAAAAAUAGUGCAGAAUAAGGGGUGGGCAAGUCUGGUGUCAGCCGCCGCGGUAAUACCAGCACCCCGAGUGGUCGGGACGUUUAUUGGGCCUAAAGCAUCCGUAGCCGGUUCUACAAGUCUUCCGUUAAAUCCACCUGCUUAACAGAUGGGCUGCGGAAGAUACUAUAGAGCUAGGAGGCGGGAGAGGCAAGCGGUACUUGAUGGGUAGGGGUAAAAUCCGUUGAUCCAUUGAAGACCACCAGUGGCGAAGGCGGCUUGCCAGAACGCGCUCGACGGUGAGGGAUGAAAGCUGGGGGAGCAAUCCGGAUUAGAUACCCGGGUAGUCCCAGCUGUAAACGAUGCAGACUCGGUGAGAGAAUUGGCUUAUUGCUACCUCAGUGCCGCAGGGAAGCCGUUAAGUUUCCCUGCCUAGGAGUACGGUCGCAAGACUGACACUUAAAGGAAUGUCAACGGAGCUUCACAAGGGGUGAAGCAGUGCGGUUCAAUUGGCAUUCAUCACCGGAAGGCGAUCUGCA
rnacentral:rRNA from 1 species